AUUGCCCGUUUCGUCUCUUCCAUCAUCGCGCGUCAUUUUCCUCCAUAUUUACGCGUGAAUUAUUCCCCGUAGUAUGUAAUCAACCCAAAAUGUUCAUUUGAAAGAGUAACAUGCGAUCGAAGUUGGCGGUUGACAGGCGACACAGGACAUCCCGAGACAGCUGCGGGCGGGAAAAGCGUAGUCGUAUAAGUUGUUGCUGGUUUUAUACGUCGCGUUCGUUGCCUGUGUUGGCUGGCGAUGCUGAGGCAGGCCAGGGUGAGGCUGGGGGACACGGCGAAGGCCAGGCAGUGUCGCUCGCGGGACGGUGGGGUGAGGGUGGCACCUUUCGAGUGCAGGCUUUGCGUGGUUUGUUGUGCGAGAGAGAGAGAGAAAGAGAGGCGGACAGACUGAAGUCUUUCUCUCUCUGUUAUUAGUAUUAUUUAUUUUUCCUGCUCCUUUCUUCUCUCGGUGUGUGCUUACCCUAAAUGAGGAAUGGGUAGUGAGUGUAGGAAAAAUGACUGACAGUUCGGUUUGUGUCAUGCUAGGAAAUGCCAGACAGGCGUUGAAAUUCUGUGUAUGACAAGUGGCAUUCUCAACAUAAUGACCCUAUUGUUUUCAAUGUAAACUGUGGAAUAAUAGAAACAAAUAGAUCAUAGAAAGAAACAGUAAGCAUAAUCAAACUGCCAACACUAAUAUUGAAUAUCAGAAAUGAAAUCUGAUUUUGUAGGCGUGUACCCAAGAGACAGAUACAUCAAAAUCACAAGAAAAUUCCAGUGAAAAAAGAAUGAGAAAGAAAGAGAAAGAGAGAGAGAGAGAAGCUACAUUUAGCUAUCACAUUACUGCCUCAAGCCAGGACUGAUGUCACAGGAUCAUGCACAGCAAGGACUUUGACUUCAUCUACAACAAGCCCCAUUUAGUCUCGGCGCUCAACCAAAACAAACAUAAUUGAGUUGCAACAAAUAGAGCAAAGAGAUCCUCGAUUUCUUAGCGAGUGAUGUCAAGAAACAUCAACCAAAGCAAGAUAGUAAGAUAGCAGUGCAUGUUGGUCGACACUAUCACGGAGGGAGAUUACAGAUUUAAUGAAGACGAGAGAGCUGCGGUGACGUCACGAGGCUUAGUAUCCCGGGCGAGAAGGUCGCGCGAAGGGAUACGAGAAGAGUAGUAGGGAGAAGAUUGGAGAGAUAGAGAGAGAGUAAGAAAGAGAG
rnacentral:lncRNA from 1 species